UACGUAGGGGGCAAGCGUUGUCCGGAAUCAUUGGGCGUAAAGAGCGCGUAGGCGGCCCUGUAAGUCCGCUGUGAAAGUCAAGGGCUCAACCCUUGAAUGCCGGUGGAUACUGCAGGGCUAGAGUCCGGAAGAGGCAAGUGGAAUUCCUGGUGUAGCGGUGAAAUGCGCAGAUAAUCAGGAAGAACACCCGUGGCUAAGGCGGCUCUCUAGUACGGUACUGACGCUGAGACGCGAAAGCGUGGGGAGCGAACAGG
rnacentral:rRNA from 1 species